CUCUUCACUCGUCAGAGAUUCUGCGUGUGAAACCGAUUUCCGCACAUGCGCAGUGGUUGCCUCAGAGCCUAGUCUACACCUAGGUAGCGGCACGGUUGGUCCGCGAGCGUCUGCGGCUAGGGACAGAUGUUCAAGACAGAGGCUAGAGCCCUUUGUCAAAGAGCUGAACCACAACCCUGGCCCAAGAAUCAGAGAAGCUAAAGGAGGCUGUAAGGAAACUUGGGGUGAUUGCAGACCCAACCACUCUUCAUACCAAGGAGGCAGACACCUGUGUCUCAGCAUGGAGAAGAGCCUACCACCGAGCCCACAAGCCCAGACAUGGUUACCUUUUUGCGUGGCCGAAGCUUGUCCCGCCAUUCCUUCAGGUUCUGGUUAUGGCUCUCAUCUAGGGCCUUCAGCUUCUGGGUUUCAUGUUCUACCAGGAGGUGACACUUUUCAUUCUGGAACAAAUUCCAGGCAGAACAGAAGAAAUUUGUGGUAAGGAUGAGGACAUGGACCUGACUGACGUACUCCCAACUUU